AACUGCAGGUCUAUUCAUGAGGUGACUUAAUUUUUGUGAAGGUUUGGAAGAAAUGGAGAAGGUUGUUGGGCCUUGUGCCGCUGCUUUCUUUUCUUGAAACUAUUACACCUUUUGUAGUCACUUUGACCAUCUUAAGCGAGAGGUUUGAUUAGGCCUAACCAUUUUUGACACUAGUUGUUAAUUUGACACGAAAUGAUACGAAGAUAACAGAUUUUUUUAUUGAUACGACAACCAAUCAAAUAGUUAUCGGUUAAUUUGAUAAAUACAUGUUAAGAUAACGGGUCAGUCCAAAUAUACACAUGAGUAACCCGUUACACCAUAAGAAGAAUAUAUUAAUUUAAUUGUAUACCACUGGAAAAAAAAAACUAUAAUUAACAGUAGUAGGAUUUAAUCUCGAACCGAACUGAAAGUUAAAAUAUAAAUAAAUAAAUAUAUUAUAUAUAUAUAAAUUAAAUUUAGAAAAUUAAUGAUUGUUGGAUUGGCUGAGAUUUUAAUCUCGGCCGUCCAAUGUUUUUCUCAGCCAUAAAUCAAACUCUUCUUCAUUUUGUAUAUCCUUGCAUAUUUGAUAUUUUGUAGUAAUGUAUUGAUGCCUUUUUACUAAUGACAAAUGUGUUUUGAAGUAAUAUUUAUGUGGCAAUGUGUUAUGUAAAUUUAUUAAAAAAAAAAAUUUCUUAACAUAAUAGGAGAACUAUCAUUAAUAGCCAAAGUUUAACAUCCAAUUUCAUAAAUAUCACUUUUUACAAAAACUUUCAAAUUUAGCAAACAAACUCACUUGAAUAGUCCUAAAUGCUCUCAAAAUCCAAAACCCAUUUACAUAGAAAAGUCAAACACUUGAAUAGAUCUCAUCUACAUCUUUGGAUUUAGAAUUCUCAUUAGCAUCUGAAUUUCAUUUGACUUUAUGAAAUCCAUUGCAAUCAAUCUGAUGUACGAAUAUCAUGAGCAAAUUCUUUUGCGUGAUUUCAGUUCAGAGAAGGAGCGAAAGCUAAAAUUUGAAGAUUGCUUUCAUGCAAAAAAUCAUGUUUUCUGUAACAAAAGAGUUGGCAAUGCUGAGCCUCAAAGAUUUACACAAAAAAUACCAAGUGUCAAAUUGUAAUGCCAAAACUAGUGUUUUCUCUCCUGUGAAAGCCUCUCUCUCCGUUUCGUGAGAGUUUUUCUCGCUGCUUGUGUGAGCUUUCAAAUUUCGUCAAGUAGUUUAGCUGCCGGCCCUUGCCUGGGCAAUUUUCUUUCUUGUUUUCCUUUCCUUCUGUCUUUGUCUGCCUGCUUUUCCCCAUGUUUUCCAGCCCAAUUUUCUUCGUUCCCCAAAUCUCCUUGCCUUUGAUUUAACCACUCCUAGCCCAAGCUCGGAAAUUCCCAGUUCUCAUCCCUCAGUUCUACAACUAUCCCGAUCUGCAACCACCUCUUUCCGUAGCAUUUUGCGACUUUAUUGGAGGGUGUGUAGAGCUCCAGCUCAGGUGACCACACCACCACCUUCCUUGUGUUUGCCGUUCUCGGCUCCGUUGCCUGUGGUAUGUACUUUUCCACUGGCUUCCUUUGUUUGGUGGUUUCAAUCUUUGUUGUGGUUGCUUAUGGAUGUUGAAGUUUGCUUAUUUUCCGAUUUUGCGGCUUGGAGUGGCUUGAUCUCCGGCGUCUUCUGAAGGUGUUGGCCGGUGCCGGGUUGGAGGUUGCUUGGUUCAAGAUGCUCCGACGGCGACUAGGGUAGUAGGCUGCUAGGUUUUUGUUUUUUAUUUUGUUGUUUUGGGCUCUAACUCUUGUUUUGGGUUGGGCUUUCUUUGUUGUGUGUAGGCAUGGCAAUUCCUGAUACAACCCGACACGACAUGACACGAAAUUAACAGGUGUUUGGGUUAACACGAUAACGAAUCGGAUCGUUAUGGAGUAACCGAUAAGUACCUAUUAAGAUAACGGGUUGAUUUGGGUAUACACGUGGAUAACACGAUACACGAAAUUAAUUUUAUAAUUUUAUAACCC
rnacentral:lncRNA from 1 species